rnacentral:lncRNA from 1 species
AAAAAUAAACAAAAAGUAGAAGUACCUAAGUUCCCAAUAGUCCAAUCCAUCAGGAAAAUACAAACUUGCACAUGUUUGAGUAAAAGGACCAUAAGAAAGAAGCAGGGGAUGCAAAAUUUUGAGAAUGGGUCUAAUAAUACUCAUCAAGUACAGAUAAUCAAAGUUAAAAGGAGGUAAUAAAGGUAUUGAAAAAAGAAGAAUAUAUUCUACAAGUGAAUGAAACAAAAUAUGGUGAAACUGGAAUGGAAACACUUCAGGAGGCCAGAGGAAGAGGGACAAUACUAUAGCAAAUAAAUUGAUAAUGCUUGUGCUCUCCUCUGUUCUUUCCCAAGUUGAUCCUACAAACAAAAGCACAGACAAAACUUAAAAAACGAUGCCAAUCAAUGAAAGCUAAAUUAUACCCAUCCUGAAUCUUUUAUAAAACAAGGCACCAAGAAAAUUUCAACAGCAAAUAUUUCAUACGAUAAAGAAAACGAUGAAAUAAAUUUCAACAUAGGCUUGUUUUAGACAUUAACAUCUUACUUUGAAAUUUCUCCCAUGGUUCGUUGACAGUCAUUGUAGAGUAAACAUUAGGUGGACAACUCUUUGACUACGCCAUUAGACAACUACAAAAGCUUACUUUCCAUAAGCUUGUAACUUACAAAUUCCAAACUACAUGUAUCAUUUGUGUGCCCUCAGCUUUCAUUCUGUAGGUUGGGAUGAAGAAUGAUCUCAAAGCUUGGAUAUCCGAGUGCAGAAUUUGUCAACAGAACAAAUAUGAAACUAUCUCACCACCUGGGUUAUUACAACCCCUUCCAAUACCACAGCAAGCAUGGACAGAUAUAAGCAUGGAUUUCAUUUGUGGCAUUCCCUCAUGGAAAGGGAAAUCUGUAAUUUUGGUGGUAGUGGAUAGGCUAUCAAAGUAUGCACACUUUAUAGCUUUGGGACAUCCUUACACUGCUAGCAUGGUAGCCCAAGAAUUUGUGGAAAAUAUCUUUAAGCUACAUGGCAUGCCUCAGACCAUUGUUAGUGACAGGGACACUAUUUUUCUCAGUGCUUUCUGGAAGGAGUAUUUUAACCUGCAAGGUUCAAAAUUGUGCUUGAGCUCAGGGUACCAUCCUCAAAGUGAUGGCCAAACAGAAGUUGUCAACAGGUGCCUAGAGACUUGUCUGUAGUGCUUUACUAGUUCUUAACCCAAGAAGUGGCUCCAAUGGCUCAUAUGGGCUGAAUUGAGCUAUAACACCUCCUUUCACAUUGCCUCCAAGUUCACUCCCUUUGAAAUCGUGUAUGGUUUCCCUCCUCCACACAUUUCUUUUUAUGAAAUUGGUACGGAAAAACUGGAGAGUGUGGAACAAGGCAUGAUUGCUCAGGAUAAAAUGUUGAAAAUGCUUAGAACUAACUUGGCCAUCGCGUAGAAUAGGAUGAAGGUGCAAGCAGACAAACACAGGAGUGAGAGAACCUUUGAGGUGGGAGAUUUGGUUUAUUUGAAGCUCAUUCCCUAUCAACUACAAUCACUAGCAACUCAUGCACAUCAUAAACUGCACCCUAAGUUCUAUGGGCCUUUUGAGGUGUUGGAGAAGGUUGGUGAGGUGGCCUACAAGUUAAAGCUUCCUAAGGCCUCCAAGAUACACCCAGUUUUCCAUGUUAGUUGCUUAAAGAAACACAUUGGUCCUUGGUCCUGAUGUUAAUCCGGUCUCAUUGUUGCCAUUGGUGACUGAUGAUGGUUUACAGGUCCAAGAACCUAUGGCAGUGCUGCAAAGAAGGAUGUAUAAGAAGAAUAAUGCGGCUGGGGUGCAAUUGCUGAUUCAUUGGAAGGACAAGGAUGUUGAAGAAUCAACUUGGGGAGGACUAUGAUGAAUUCACUGCAAGAUUUUCAUAUUUUAAGUUUUAGUUGCAACCUUGAGGACAAGGUUUAAGUGAAGGAUGGGGCAAUGUUAUAGCUAUGAUUAUCUUAUUAAUCACAAGCUUAGUUUUUAAAUAAGUAUUUUGGAUUUGGAUUAGUCAUGCCAGCUGGCUUUGUAGUGUUUGGGGGAAACAAUAUAUGUAACAAACCAAUUAAAAAAAAAUACCUGAAGCUCGGUGAGAUUCAAGCUUCGAACUGAAAAAUGAAAACAUUUGGCGGUCAACACCCAAUCACUAAUUAACUAAGUGGUGACCUGCUGACCAUGAACACGUGAAUAAAAUUGUAAAGGUUAAUUAUACGGAAUCUUAUUACCGCAAAAAAAAAUAAAAAACUAAUUGAAAAUUAGGGGGUGGGUUCAAAACGAAAACGAAAACCGAAAACGAACGAAACGAAAUCGAAAAAACCGAAAACCGAUCAAAUUGAAAAAAUCGAAAAACGAAAAAACCGAACAAAUUAAAUUCGAACCGAAUUAAAAAUUAAUUUAUUAAUAUUUUUUUUUUUUUUAUAUUUAUUAUUUUUUUAUUUUUUGGGUUAUUUUUUUAAACCCAAUUUGUAAGCCCAAUGUGUUGCCCAAAAUCAGAAAUUCCAAAUGCAUCGCUUCUUUUCCUAUAACUACAAGGAAGAAGUCGUAUAAAAAAGCAAGACCUAAAAUAGUGAUAACAAAAUGGUGCUAAAUCCUGACACAGUACUGUUAGUUCCUGAUUCUUGUUUAAUAUGGCUUCUUGCUUCAAGUAUUUGUAUGCUUAUUCAAUACUUCAUUGCUUAUUGUUAUAUGCAGUGAUCAGGUAUUGGUUUUGAUCAAGUGUUUUCCCAUUUGAUAUUACUUCUGCCGACUAAAUAGUAAAUUACAUUACUAAAUGACCGAUAAUACAUACAAAGAGAGCAUAAUCGAUAUAUGACCCUCGUUGGUUCAAAGUGGGUUAUAGUAUGAUAAUGCUCUCAUGUACGUACUAUCGUGAUAAAAUAAUCAGCACAUGUUCACCAACAUACACCAGCUCUUUAUAUUAUUCAUGGUUAAGAGUUCAGGUGUGAAGAAAAUGGUAGAAAAUUUUACUUUUCUAAAAAGAAAUCUAUUUACAAUUAAACUUUAAACACAAAAUGUUAAAAAAAAUCUUUAUGUUAUAAUUCUAGUUGAACUUUAAAUAUUUAUUUUCAUUUUCUUUGAUUCUAGUUGGAAUAUUUAUGUUAUGAUUAUGUUGGAGAUGUUAAAAUUUAAGACUUCAAUUUUUUUCAUUUUUUGAAAACAAAAAAAAAAAAAACCGAAACCGAACCGGAAAAAACUGAAAAAAAGAACCGAACCGAAAUUUCGGUGAUUUCGGUUUUGGAAAAAAACCAAACCGAUUUGAACCGAACCCAACCCUAAUUGAAAUUAUGUGUUGCGCACAAUGAUAUCGAAGAAGAAUAAUUUCUAUUUAAUUGAAAUUAAAUUCGAAUAAAUGAUUCAUAAAAUUACAGAUUUUCAAUCAAAUGCGGAAUAUACACAACAAUUUUAUUUCUGAUUUGAAUAUAACCAACUACAUCCCAAGUUGCAUCAGUAUCAAUGGAUCAACAUUGCAUCAGUAUCAAUGGAUCCAAUCAUGUGUCCCCUCAAGCCCAAAUAUUCAUAUCUGCAAACCCUCGUCUAAAGAAAAAUUCGUCCAGAAAUUAAUCACCGAGUAUGCAAGGUUGGCAUGCAUAUUCACGUUUAAUCGUGGCCAUGAUGAUAGGAAUUAAAAAAAAACACGAAAAUAGGAAUGAUGUACCUUUACUUAGAUUUCAGGGUUCUAAAACCUGUUGCUGAGAUUUGAGAAACAUAGGAAAUGUGUUUCAUGAUUUCAAAUUAGAUUUGCAUAAGAGUUUAGAAACGCAUACAUCCCUUCUUUUCAUUCCUCCAAACGCUAAACGCUAAACCCUAAAGCCUAGGCUUUCAACACCAAAACACCCAAAUAGUACCAGAACUUUGCAAUGUGCGGGGAAUAUACUAAAAAAACUUAAACCACAAUCAAGCAUCAUCUAUCUAAACAAAAUCAGAACCCAAACCACAUACAAAAUCUCUAAAUAUAUAAUAAUAAUAAUAAUAAUAAUAAUAAUAAUAAUAAUAAUAAUAAUAAUAAUUCUAGUAGAAAUUCCAAUCCAUUACAACAGCACACAGAAUACCAGGUAUUGCUGGAUGUAGAUAUCCAAAACAGCGGCACCCAUCAAUUGAUCUAAUUACGUAUCCAUUCCCUAUCCAUGGCAUACAAAAUAUGUACUCCCUUCUGUUUACAUGUUAUAAAACAUUUAGUAGACCAACAAUCAAAAUUAACAACCCUAAUUGUUGUAUACACAAAGAUCUCCAACUGAAAAUGUUUAAUUAAAUUUUCCAACUUAAAACCCUAAAUUAAAUCCUACAAAUUGAAAUAGCAGAAACAGAAUUAGAGAGAAGGAAGAAAUCAUUGACCUUGGAGUUGUUGAGAGCUCUGAUGGGUGUUUCUUUUCAUCCAGCCCUAAAAACAGAACCCACAAUUGUAAUAUAAGAUCCAAUCAUAGGUCACGAAUCAAAUUAACCCGGCCUGUGUAUAGAAAAAUUGAACAAAUUUAGACAUUUAUAUGUAUGUAUAUUCCAGUAAAAAAGAAUGAAAUGCACUGAACCCUAAAUUGCAAAACUACGUCAGACUGAUUGAAGAAGAGAAACAAAGAGGGAGAGGGAGUGGGACGGAGAGAAAGCCCUAAAAACAGAACCCUCUGGCAACCUAAUACAAAAUCAAGCCAACAAAUUCCAUUUCAAUUUUGACAAAACAAAUCGAAAAAGAAUAAUGAAAACCUGAAUGAAUUACAGAGGAACUGAUGGGUUUAUGCAUCAGCAACGUGAUAAAACCCAGAAACACAAAACCUAAUAUGUAUCAGCUACAAAAACCCAAAUAAAUAAAUAAAACACUCAAAUUUCUAUGUAAAAGCGAACAUAUUUUGACCCCAAAACGAAGAUGUCAUAGAUGGAGGAAGAGAGAAGCGACAGAGAGGGAGAGAUACUAACUCAACCCCACCAUCUCUCUGCAGCCAAGACACUUAUUCCCUCAACCCUACCCUCAAAUCUUGUACCCAAUCAACUCUCUUUUUGUCCCCCUAAUCGUGCACCCGCCGUCACCUUCUCUCUGCAACCAACCCCCUCUCCUCUCUUCCCCAUAUCACACCCCCACCCUGUGAGGGCACUGACAGCAGACCACCUGAUAAGAUCCAAUUCUCAAUUCCCUUAAUCAACCUGCAAGUAGCACAAGGAAGCUAUGGAAGAAGAGGGAAGGAGAGAUGAAGGAGCAGAGCUCCAACUAUUUUUGUAUUUAAUUUCUUUCUUUGUAAAUUAUGUUCUGCCAGAAUGAGCUGGGCUCCUUUUAUACACUCUAUUUCUUAAAAUGCCAGCUGGCAUAUUUAACAAUUCUUAACAAUUCAAUUAAAGCAUAAACCUCAAUUACAUUUUGGGUUCAUAACAAUAUUCCCCCCUUGAAAAUUAGCCUUGUCCUCAAGGCUUAAAAAUGGAAUUGUGGAAGUCCUCCCAAUUAGCUGCUAUCCUCAAAGCAACAAGAAGUUGAAUCUGCAUAAGGCACUCAUUGGCAGAUUCCUCCCAACCUUCUUCAAGUCAAGCUCCUGAACUUCCUUAAUCAACUUAAGGCAAAUCCCAAUAGAUAGGGAGAAGAUUGAUAAAUUCUCUUUCUGAAAAACUAGCAUCUUCACUAUGCAAACAGAGAGACCUACAAGCUGCCAACCUUACAAAUAGGUCCUUGUCCUGUACCAAUUUGAUCAAAGCACAGUAAACUGGCAUUUUUGUGUCCUUUUUAAUAUCAGAAACCCAUUGUCCCAAUAUCAGUGCAACCUCCCAGGGGGUGAUACGCAUAUUUAGAUGAUCAAUAUGAACCAAGAAUUCUAAGCAUGGUAGUGAACCAACCAAAACAGAUGACUGCAAAGGUGUAAUACUGUCAUUAUCUUCAGCAACAAGAUUAGCAUUGUUUUGUAACAGAACUUCCACUGCAUCUUAGUGACCAUGACCAACAUCCUAAAUUAAGGGACUUCCAGCAUCUCGUGGUGAAUUAACAUAAGCAUCUUGGGGUUCAAACACCUCAGUCCUUUUGUCAACCAACUCUGCCAAUUCUAUGUUCCCAUAAAUCCUACAUGUAAAAAGCAGAGAUCCCCAUAUAACCACAUCAGGUUGAGUAGGAAUAUCUCUGAUGAACUUUUCAGCCACAUUUAACAGAUUAGCAUGGCUAAGAAGAUCCACAAUGCAUCCAUAGUGUUCAAUACGAGGAUUGAGCUUAUGAUUUUCAAGAUCCAUGCUAUGUAUCCAUUUAUCAAUGAAUCGGAGCAACCAUGACAACCCUCAAAGAAAUGAUUCAGUAAUGCAUUCCCUCUGUAACAAGCUAUGAAUGUGUCCUGCAUAAAGCGCACCUGAAAUAGCUCUAUGUAGUAAUAAUCGAACCGGUUGUGCUUGAGAAAUCUGAGCCGUUGCUUUUAUCUCCUCUGUCUCCCUUAAUUGUUUUUUUUUUUUGAAAGCAUGUCAACAAAACUUUGACAGCAAGAUUUUAACCAUAUUUUUCUGACCUCAUCACCAGUAUUGCAUAGCAAUCUUAUUCAGAGGACCAUCCCAGCAUAAGAAUCACUAUCAAUUGGAUAUGGAAGAACUGGAGAUUGUCCUAAUUGCAACAUAGAGACAACAAUCAACAGUGCUUGUGAAAAUGCUUUAUUCACUUCAACUUUUGAUGGUUGGACCCCUUCCAAUCUCAGGGCAAGCUUGGUCAUAGUGUAUGCAACAACUGUCCCAAGGAAAAAGUCACCAGUGAGAAGCAAGGAUCUCAAGUUCCCAGAUGCCACGGAUCCUUGAAAAAUGGUAGGAGGAGAGAAAACAAUUCCAGAUGCAGCAUGAUGUGUGGCAUAAGUUCCAUCAGCAAGAAUAGUAGGUCUUUUAAAAGGCACGGUCAUGGAGUUUACUUGCUGAACCUUUUGUGAAGAAUCAUUACUUUCUUCUUCUGAAACCGAGAGAAAAGGCAAUUCACUUAGGCACCGUUUAAUUGAUGCAGUUCUACCCUUAAAUUCAGGAAGUGACGUGCAACAUGCUCCAAAAAUCCAAAGGCCGGAAGAACAAACCUGUGAUGCUCAGAUUUGGUAGAAAGUGUCUAAUAGCUUUGUUAUUAUAGGUACAUGUCACAUUUGAGGGAGUUGGGCUCCUUUUAUACACUCUACUUCUUAAAAUGCCAGCUAGCAUAUUUAACAAUUCUUAACAAUUCAAUUAAAGCAUAAACCUCAAUUACAUUUUGAGUUCAUAACACCACCUCCCUAGAAACCGGCCCUAAAAACCCAUACCUCCCUGAAACCCUUUCUCUCGGACAUCCCAUACCACAGAAAAUGCAUCUGAACUUUAGUUUAUAAAAUCGCAGGCCGCCUUCUCUCUUCCUACCUUUUAACAAUUCACCAGUAAGAUUAUAUCAAUAAAAACUUAUAUUAGCAAAUCCAGUGAAGAAUGAUGUGAAACUGAAGCUGUAAUGAAAGCUUAUUUUGAGAGAGAAUGAAAAGCCAUCUUUCUACAGCUUGAAACCAAAAUUUAAGUGAAUGGCCUUGUAACUAAGGUUAUUGAACAUGAUUAACUAUCCGCAAUAUGACAACUAUCCGCAACCCUCAACCUUGUAACCUGAAUCAAGCUGGUUUCACACAUACCAAUAGAAAACCAGAAUAUCAAUGUUUGGGGAAGUUACCUUAUUUGAAAUACCACUAAAAACAGAGUAUACUUUUAGGCAAAUAUUGUUUAAACACCCAACCAUAAUUCAUGAUAUGUGCCAAAAAGAAAAUACCUCUCAAUUAGAUCUCUUUUGUUCACGAACUUUCUCCCUGACAAACUCCUGAGUUAGAACCAAAAAAGAAAAUAAGUCAAAACGGAUGCAAGUAGAGGGGAAUGAGGCAGAGAAAAGUAGGAAUUUAUGAGUACACCACUCCUAUUUUAGGAUCCCAACUUAUAAGGAUGCUAACUUCAUCAUAUAGGACUACCGUGAAACUCAUUUCUUUAAAAAGGUCGUACCCAGUGCACAAGGCUCCCGCUUUACGCAGGGUCUGGGAGAGGUAAAUGUCGGCUAGCCUUACCCCCAUUUAUGGAGAGGUUGCUCCCAAGUCUCGAACCCGAGACCUACCGCUCAUGGGCGAAGGCACUUGCCAUCGCACCAAAUGCGACCUCUGUUAAACUCAUUUCUUUCCGAAAUUAAAUUAAGAAAAAAGUUCGACACUGGCAUGCCACAACACAAUGUUACAAAAAGUAAUCUUACCAUCACAACCAAAUUGACGCAAACUUCUAACAGUCCUUUUGAAAGCAAAAAUCAAGCAAUUAAUCAAAUACUCAUUUUCCGAAAAAGAAAAAACCCAACAAAAAUAUAUAAAAAGUAAAAGUACCUAAGUUCCCAAUAGUCCAAUCCAUCAGAAAAAUACAAACUUGCACAUGUUUGAGUAUAAGGACCAUAAGAAAGAAGCAGGGGAUGCAAAAUUUUGAGAAUGGGUCUAAUAAUACUCAUCAAGUAAAGAUAAUCAAAGUUAAAAGGAGGUAAUAAAGGUAUAGAAAAAAGAAGAAUAUAUUCUACAAAUGAAUGAAACAAAAGAUGGUGACACUGGAAUGGAAACACUUCAGGAGGCCAGAGGAAGAGGGACAAUACUAUAGCAAAUAAAUUGAUAAUGCUUGUGCCCUCCUCUGUUCUUUCCC